rnacentral:rRNA from 1 species
CCUACGGGUGGCUGCCGUCGAGAAUCAUUCACAAUGGGGGAAACCCUGAUGGUGCGACGCCGCGUGGGGGAAUGAAGGUCUUCGGAUUGUAAACCCCUGUCAUGUGGGAGCAAAUUAAAAAGAUAGUACCACAAGAGGAAGAGACGGCUAACUCUGUGCCAGCAGCCGCGGUAAUACAGAGGUCUCACGCGUUGUUAGGAAUCAUUGGGCGUAAAGGGUGCGUAGGCUGGUUCGUAAGUCGUGUGGGAAAGGGGCGGGCUCAACCCGCGGACGGCCCUUGAUACUGCGAGACUAGAGUAAUGACGGGGGAACCGGAAUUCUCGGAGUAGCAGUGAAAUGCGUAGAUAU